UACGAAGGGGGCUAGCGUUGCUCGGAAUCACUGGGCGUAAAGCGCACGUAGGCGGCCCCUUAAGUCAGGGGUGAAAUCCUGGAGCUCAACUCCAGAACUGCCUUUGAUACUGAGGAUCUCGAGUUCGGGAGAGGUGAGUGGAACUGCGAGUGUAGAGGUGAAAUUCGUAGAUAUUCGCAAGAACACCAGUGGCGAAGGCGGCUCACUGGCCCGAUACUGACGCUGAGGAGCGAAAGCGUGGGGAGCGAACAGG
rnacentral:rRNA from 1 species